GUAGGAGGUUUGGGCUUUGGCAACUGAAAAUAGAACACAAUAAGCUAAUGAGUUAUCAUGCUAAAAAAAAGAAAAGGAAGAAGAAAUUAAGAAAUUUCUCAAGCACCUCACUUAUAUAAUUGAGAAAAAUGCUGAGGUAAACAAAUAAAAAUACAUUAUUUAAUAUGAGAAUUCAACAACAACACUCAGCACAUCAACUUCAAAGAACUGAAAAGGAAAAAAAGGGGGUGUGGAGGGAAGAAUACAAAGGAAGAAAAAAGAAAACCAAGUAUUCUGCAUGGCACUAUGUUCUCCACUACUUCAUUUUCCUUCAUCUUGGGAUUAGGCAUAAAUAGCCUCGUUUCUUACAGAUUUUCACAAUGUUGUCCCUGAACUUUUAGUUUUAAUAACUGAGUACCUCAUCUCUUCUAUUAAAUUUGUUAGCAAAAUUAUUACUUGGAGUCCCACAAUACCAAUUGUAAUCAUUUCUCUCCCAUAAAAUGGCUUUUGUGGAUUGACUUGGGAUGCAAAAAAUCAAUUAAACUAAAAUUAGGAACUGCAAUUCUUCCCAUUUAUGAUAGGAGGACCCAUUGAAGCUUCCUUUCAUAAAAAAAAAAGAGAAAUGACAGUUAACAGUUAUUGUGGGUUGUGGGUUUAGUCAUAAUUUUUUGUCCACACCACAAACAAAUUUAAGGGGAUAAAAGAUAGGUUUUAGUUGCAGCAUUUUAUUUUAUUUUUUU
rnacentral:misc_RNA from 1 species